rnacentral:sRNA from 1 species
AGAAUUCCAAGGGGGCCCAUAACUCCAUGAGGCCCAGAGUUCCUGGCUUGGGAACACUGGGAGGCCUGGGAUACUGUGGCUUAGACUCAAGCAGAAAGCUACUUCUUAGAACCACUGUAUAGAACAUGCUACCUGAUGAAGAAUAAAUCAACACCUUGCUUCCCGUCUUCUAUCCAUUAGAUAUCCAGGUGAAUCUGGAUUGGGAAAGUCGACAUUAAUCAACUCAUUAUUCCUCACAGAUUUGUAUUCUCCAGAGUAUCCAGGUCCUUCUCAUAGAAUUAAAAAGACUGUACAGGUGGAACAAUCCAAAGUUUUAAUCAAAGAAGGUGGUGUUCAGUUGCUGCUCACAAUAGUUGAUACCCCAGGAUUUGGAGAUGCAGUGGAUAAUAGUAAUUGCUGGCAGCCUGUUAUCGACUACAUUGAUAGUAAAUUUGAGGACUACCUAAAUGCAGAAUCACGAGUGAACAGACGUCAGAUGCCUGAUAACAGGGUGCAGUGUUGUUUAUACUUCAUUGCUCCUUCAGGACAUGGACUUAAACCAUUGGAUAUUGAGUUUAUGAAGCGUUUGCAUGAAAAAGUGA